rnacentral:rRNA from 1 species
GACGAACGCUGGCGGCGUGCUUAACACAUGCAAGUCGAACGGAAAGGCCCUGCUUUUGUGGGGUGCUCGAGUGGCGAACGGGUGAGUAACACGUGAGUAACCUGCCCUUGACUUUGGGAUAACUUCAGGAAACUGGGGCUAAUACCGGAUAGGAGCUCCUGCUGCAUGGUGGGGGUUGGAAAGUUUCGGCGGUUGGGGAUGGACUCGCGGCUUAUCAGCUUGUUGGUGGGGUAGUGGCUUACCAAGGCUUUGACGGGUAGCCGGACUGAGAGGGUGACCGGCCACAGUGGGACUGAGAUACGGCCCAGACUCCUACGGGAGGCAGCAGUGGGGAAUAGUGCAAAAUGGGCGGAAGCCUGAUGCAGCAACGCCGCGUGCGGGAUGACGGCCUUCGGGUUGUAAACCGAUUUCGCCUGUGACGAAGCGUGAGUGACGGUAAUGGGAAAAGAAGCACCGGCUAACUACGUG